UACUUACUUCCUCCGUCCGGAAAUACUUGUCCUCGAAAUAGAUAAAAUGAAUGUAUCUAUAACUAAAAUAAGUCUAGAUACAAUCAUCUCGAGGAUAAGUAUUUCCGGACGGAGGGAGUACUUG
rfam:Triticum aestivum genome assembly, contig: Triticum_aestivum_CS42_TGACv1_scaffold_577947_7BL